rnacentral:rRNA from 1 species
GUGUCAGCAGCCGCGGUAAUACGUAGGGUGCGAGCGUUAAUCGGAAUUACUGGGCGUAAAGCGUGCGCAGGCGGUUCGCCGUGUCCGAUGUGAAAGCCCCGGGCUUAACCUGGGAAUGGCAUUGGAAACUGGCGGGCUGGAGUAUGGCAGAGGGGGGUGGAAUUCCACGUGUAGCAGUGAAAUGCGUAGAGAUGUGGAGGAACACCGAUGGCGAAGGCAGCCCCCUGGGCCAAUACUGACGCUCAGGCACGAAAGCGUGGGGAGCAAACAGGAUUAGAUACCCUAGUAGUCC